rnacentral:misc_RNA from 1 species
UUUUAGCUGUUUGUUUGGCCUUUGUGCCAGGUGGGCGGCUACUGGUUGGGCGGUUUCGGGGAAUGUCGACCGUAAAGGUGCGUGAGUGGUGUUUGGUAUGUUACGGGUGGUUGGAUGUCUGCUUGCGCAGCAACGUCCAUCCGUGCAAACCUCUUCAUUAGUGCGACAAGGUCCGAACGUCCUUGAGCACCCGUUGGGUUCCCUGUGCUGCAUACCUAAUCGAGGUAUCGUAUCGUUGUAUCGAUGUCCCUUUUCAUCAUGUGUCGCUUGCGCGGCAUGGGGUGAACCUCGAAGCGGUCCCUUUGAUCCAGCUCGUCGAUGCGUAUGCGUCCUCGUCAUGGCUCGUUGGGCACCGCUUGGUUUCUUGGAUACGGAACCUCAUGUGGGUAUGGGGUCUUUACGAUCACGUGUUUGCCCUUAUCGAGCGUUCUCGCUUCUUUGAAACGACCGUCGGUCAUGUUCCGGCAUGCUCGUGCGUGGCCGACGACGUCGAAGAGGAAUGCUACC